CACGUCCACAGCAAUUAGAGCAAAAGGACAGAGAACCAGUUCUCUAAGAGCAGGAACUUUGUAUGUCUUUGAUCAUUGCUGUCUUCCAGAGCCUAGAAUAGAACCUGGCACACAGUAGAUGCUCAAUGUUGUAUUUAUUAAAUGAAUGAAAUUAAAUGGAACAAACAUA